UAAAGNUUGAUCCUGGCUCAGGACGAACGCUGGCGGCAUGCCUAAUACAUGCAAGUCGAACGAGUUCCCGUUGAUUGACGUGCNUGCACUGAUUUCAGCAUUGGAACGAGUGGCGAACUGGUGAGUAACACGUGGAAAACCUGCCCAGAAGCAGGGGAUAACACUUGGAAACAGGUGCUAAUACCGUAUAACAACAAAAACCGCAUGGUUUUUGUUUGAAAGGUGGCUUCGGCUAUCACUUCUGGAUGGUUCCGCGGCGCAUUAGCUUGUUGGUGGGGUAACGGCUCACCAAGGCGAUGAUGCGUAGCCGACCUGAGAGGGUAAUCGGCCACAUUGGGACUGAGACACGGCCCAGACUCCUACGGGAGGCAGCAGUAGGGAAUCUUCCACAAUGGACGCAAGUCUGAUGGAGCAAUGCCGCGUGAGUGAAGAAGGGUUUCGGCUCGUAAAACUCUGUUGUUGAAGAAGAACGGGUGUCAGAGUAACUGUUGACAUCGUGACGGUAUUCAACCGGAAAGCCACGGCUAACUACGUGCCAGCAGCCGCGGUAAUACGUAGGUGACAAGCGUUGUCCGGAUUUAUUGGGCGUAAAGCGAGCGCAGGCGGUUUCUUAAGUCUGAUGUGAAAGCCUUCGGCUUAACCGAAGAAGUGCAUCGGAAACUGGGGAACUUGAGUGCAGAAGAGGACAGUGGAACUCCAUGUGUAGCGGUGGAAUGCGUAGAUAUAUGGAAGAACACCAGUGGCGAAGGCGGCUGUCUAGUCUGCAACUGACGCUGAGGCUCGAAAGCAUGGGUAGCGAACAGGAUUAGAUACCCUGGUAGUCCAUGCCGUAAACGAUGAGUGCUAGGUGUUGGAGGGUUUCCGCCCUUCAGUGCCGCAGCUAACGCAUUAAGCACUCCGCCUGGGGAGUACGACCGCAAGGUUGAAACUUAAAGGAAUUGACGG
rnacentral:rRNA from 1 species